rnacentral:rRNA from 1 species
UGCCCUAGUAACGGCGAGUGAAGCGGCAACAGCUCAAAUUUGAAAUCUGGCCCUCGGGUCCGAGUUGUAAUUUGUAGAGGAUGCUUUUGGUGCGGUGCCUUCCGAGUUCCCUGGAACGGGACGCCAUAGAGGGUGAGAGCCCCGUCUGGUUGGAUGCCAAUCCUCUGUAAAGCUCCUUCGACGAGUCGAGUAGUUUGGGAAUGCUGCUCUAAAUGGGAGGUAUAUGUCUUCUAAAGCUAAAUACCGGCCAGAGACCGAUAGCGCACAAGUAGAGUGAUCGAAAGAUGAAAAGCACUUUGAAAAGAGAGUUAAAAAGUACGUGAAAUUGUUGAAAGGGAAGCGUUUAUGACCAGACUUGGGCUUGGUUAAUCAUCCAGGGUUCUCCCUGGUGCACUUUUCCAGUCCAGGCCAGCAUCAGUUUGCUUCGGGGGAUAAAGGCUUCGGGAAUGUGGCUCCUCUCGGGGAGUGUUAUAGCCCGUUGCGUAAUACCCUGGGGCGGACUGAGGUACGCGCUUCUGCAAGGAUGCUGGCGUAAUGGUCAUCAACGACCCGUCUUGAAACACGGACCAAGGAGUCGUCUUCGUAUGCGAGUGUUCGGGUGUCAAACCCCUACGCGUAAUGAAAGUGAACGCAGGUGAGAGCUUCGGCGCAUCAUCGACCGAUCCUGAUGUUCUCGGAUGGAUUUGAGUAAGAGCAUACGGGGCCGGACCCGAAAGAAGGUGAACUAUGCUUGUAUAGGGUGAAGCCAGAGGAAACUCUGGUGGAGGCUCGCAGCGGUUCUGACGUGCAAAUCGAUCGUCAAAUAUGAGCAUG